AUACGUAGGUGACAAGCGUUAUCCGGAUUUACUGGGCGUAAAGGGCGUGUAGGCGGUCUUGCAAGUCAGAAGUGAAAUUCCUGAGCUCAACUCGGGCGCUGCUUCUGAAACUGCAGGACUUGAGUGCUGGAGGGGAUAGCGGAAUUCCUAGUGGAGCGGUAAAAUGCGCAGAUAUUAGGAAGAACACCGGUGGCGAAGGCGGCUAUCUGGACAGUAACUGACGCUGAGGCGCGAAAGUGUGGGGAGCAAACAGGAUUAGAUACCCUGGUAGUCCACACUGUAAACGAUGAAUGCUAGGUGUAGGAGGUAUCGACCCCUUCUGUGCCGCAGUAAACACAGUAAGCAUUCCGCCUGGGGAGUACGGUCGCAAGAUUAAAACUCAAAUGAAUUGACGGGG
rnacentral:rRNA from 1 species